GUCCACGCCGUAAACGAUGGGUGCUAGGUGUGGGGGGUGUCGACUCCCUCCGUGCCGAAGCUAACGCAUUAAGCACCCCGCCUGGGGAGUACGGCCGCAAGGCUAAAACUCAAAGGAAUUGACGGGGGCCCGCACAAGCAGCGGAGCAUGUGGUUUAAUUGGACGCGACGCCAAGAACCUUACCAAGGCUUGACAUGGUCGAGAAAAACGUGGAAACACGUUCCUCCUUCGGGACUCGAUCACAGGUGGUGCAUGGCUGUCGU
rnacentral:rRNA from 1 species